UCAGCAAUGGUUUAUCGUUGCCUACAGAUAUAUAUAAAAUAACCUUAUGUAUCCUAUAUUUCCAACUUCUCACAUGCAACAGUGGCCACACCUGUUUUAAGUAUCAGCUUUUUUUUUUUUUUGAACAACCCUGGGUAGGUUUUUUAAGUGUGAAGUAUAUUAUUUCCAUUGGCUUGGGGAAAUAACAUGUCCCAUGACAUCCGAGAUUCCCCUGAGGCUCUAGGCUCUGAAAAUAUCCUA